UAUAAGCGAUGGGGUGACGCAGGAGGGUAGCUCGGCCCAGGCGAUGGUUGUUCCUGGGGUAAGCAUGUAGCCCGCAUCAUAGGUAAAUCCGUGGUGCGUUAAGGGUGAGAUGUGAUGCCGAGCCAUUGUGGUGAAGUGAGUGAUCCCAUGCUGCCGAGAAAAGCCUCUAGCGAUGUGUGACGGCGGCCCGUACCCCAAACCGACUCAGGUGGUCAGGUAGAGAAUACUAAGGCGAUCGGGUGAACUGUGGUUAAGGAACUCGGCAAAUUGCCCCCGUAACUUCGGGAGAAGGGGGGCCAUGUCCGGUGAACGUCUUUACGGCGGGAGCUGGGGGUGGCCGCAGAUACCAGGGGGAAGCGACUGUUUACUAAAAACACAGGUCCGUGCGAAGUCGUAAGACGCUGUAUACGGACUGACGCUUGCCCGGUGCCGGAACGUUAAGAGGACCGGUCAACCUUUCGGGGUGAAGCUGAGAAUCUAAGCGCCGGUAAACGGCGGUGGUAACUAUAACCAUCCUAAGGUAGCGAAAUUCCUUGUCGGGUAAGUUCCGACCUGCACGAAUGGCAUAACGACUUCCCCACUGUCUCAACCACAGACCCGGCGAAAUUGCAGUACGAGUAAAGAUGCUCGUUUCGCGCAGCAGGACGGAAAGACCCCGGGACCUUCACUACAGCUUGGCAUUGGCGUUUGGAGCGUCUUGUGUAGGAUAGGUGGGAGACUGUGAAACUCACACGCCAGUGUGGGUGGAGUCAUUGGUGAAAUACCACUCUGGUCGUUUCGAGCGUCUAACCCGCACCCGUGAAUCCGGGUGGGGGACAGUGCCUGGUGGUAGUUUAACUGGGGCGGUUGCCUCCUAAAAGGUAACGGAGGCGCCCAAAGGUUCCCUCAGCCUGGUUGGUAAUCAGGUGGCGAGUGCAAGGGCACAAGGGAGCUUGACUGUGAGACGGACGUGUCGAGCAGAUGCGAAAGCAGGGCCUAGUGAUCCGGCGGUGGCAUGUGGAAGCGCCGUCGCUCAACGGCUAAAAGGUACCCCGGGGAUAACAGGCUGAUCUUCCCCAAGAGUCCAUAUCGACGGGAUGGUUUGGCACCUCGAUGUCGGCUCGUCGCAUCCUGGGGCUGGAGUAGGUCCCAAGGGUUGGGCUGUUCGCCCAUUAAAGCGGCACGCGAGCUGGGUUUAGAACGUCGCGAGACAGUUCGGGCCCUAUCCGCUGCGCGCGCAGGAGAUUUGAGAGGGUCUGUCCCUAGUACGAGAGGACCGGGACGGACGAACCUCUGGUGUGCCAGUUGUCAUGCCAAUGGCACGGCUGGUUGGCUACGUUCGGACGGGAUAACCGCUGAAAGCAUCUAAGCGGGAAGCCUUCCUCAAGAUGAGAUCUCCCACCCCUUCGUGGGUGUAAGGCCCCCAGCUAGACCACUGGGUUGAUAGGCCAGAAAUGGAAGCACCGCAAGGUGUGGAGUUGACUGGUACUAAUAGGCCGAGCGGCUUGAU
rnacentral:rRNA from 1 species